GAUGAAGAACGCAGCGAAAUGCGAUAAGUAAUGUGAAUUGCAGAAUUCAGUGAAUCAUCGAAUCUUUGAACGCACAUUGCGCCCCCCAGUAUUCUGGCGGGCAUGCCUGUUCGAGCGUCAUUUCAACCAUCAAGCCCUGCUUGUGUUGGGGUCCUGCGGCUGCCCGCAGGCCCUGAAAACCAGUGGCGGGCUCGCUAGUCACACCGAGCGCAGUAGCACAUCUCGCUCAGGGCGUGCGGCGGGCUCCAGCCGUUAAAGCACCCACCUUUCGCAAGGUUGACCUCGGAUCAGGUAGGAAUACCCGCUGAACUUAAGCAUAUCAAUAACGGAGGA
rnacentral:misc_RNA from 1 species